AAAAAGUUACUGGCUUCUAUGAUGGUAAAUCUACCAAAAACAAUUUGAAACUAUCUAAAUGUAGUUUACUGUUACAGCUAUAGCAAGUUUUUAUACAGCGUAUUUGGAACGUAAAAUCCAAGAAAGUUUACCAGGAGACUUCACUAUCGAGAAUCCAGUAACUACAUACUGUAGAUCAGUUAUUCCAGGAGAUACAAACACUUAUUUCACGACACUUUUUACAAAAUGAAUCAGAAUCUGAUGAUGAGUAAACGUACACUUUUCAACACCCCCGGAACUUCUUACUGCAAUAAGAAUACCUAUUCCAGGACAGAAAGACGAUAUUUUUAAUAACCUUAUAAUAUUAUAUAUUUCUAUUUUGUCUAAUUAUUUUAUGUAAAAUUAAAUUGUCUAAUACAAUAAUAAUAUAUGAACUUGAUUCGUAUUAUAUUGUUAGGUUUUUGUUAACUCCCAAAAUAUAUGGAUUAUAUCAUUA